CCUACGGGCGGCAGCAGUGAGGAAUAUUGGUCAAUGGGCGAGAGUCUGAACCAGCCAAGUAGCGUGAAGGAUGACUGCCCUAUGGGUUGUAAACUUCUUUUGUAAGGGGAUAAAAAGAGUCACGUGUAGAGUUUUGCCUGUACUUUAUGAAUAAGGAUCGGCUAACUCCGUGCCAGCAGCCGCGGUAAUACGGAGGAUUCGAGCGUUAUCCGGAUUUAUUGGGUUUAAAGGGAGCGUAGGGGGGUUGUAAAGUCAGUUGUUAAAGUUUGGGGCUUAACCGUAAAAUUGCAAUUGAUACUGGCAGGCUUGAGUACAGUCGAGGUAGGCGGAAUAAGUGGUGUAGCGGUGAAAUGCUUAGAUAUAACGAAGAACCCCGAUUGCGAAGGCAGCUUACUAGACUGGGACUGACACUGAUGCUCGAAAGCGUGGGUAGCAAACAGGAUUAGAUACCCGUGUAGUC
rnacentral:rRNA from 1 species